GACGUAGGGCGCGAGCGUUGUCCGGAUUUAUUGGGCGUAAAGAGCUCGUAGGCGGCUCAUUGCGUCAACCGUGAAAGCCAGCAGCUCAACUGUUGGCUUGCGGUUGAUACGGGUGGGCUGGAGUUCGGUAGGGGAGACUGGAAUUCCUGGUGUAGCGGUGAAAUGCGCAGAUAUCAGGAGGAACACCGGUGGCGAAGGCGGGUCUCUGGGCCGAUACUGACGCUGAGGAGCGAAAGCGUGGGGAGCGAACAGG
rnacentral:rRNA from 1 species